UUAAGUUCAGCGGGUAUUCCUACCUGAUCCGAGGUCAAAACUGGAUGAUUCCAAGGAAUCGUGGUUUGACGGUCAGCGCCGAUCGGGUCUAUCGAGUGAUGAUCAAUGCCCAUACACUCAGACACCGGUAUCUCGGUGCUGCCACUGCAUUUCAGGCCCGUCCACGGGGGACGAAAGCCCAACACACAAGCUGUGCUUGA
rnacentral:misc_RNA from 1 species